rnacentral:lncRNA from 1 species
GGUAUGUAUUUUGUAGCUAUAAUUUCAUCUGUGUGUACUUCAUCUUUCACUUGCCACAUGACCCUGUUAUGGCCUGUCUUCUGUUUUCUCCUUCAUCACUCUCUCAUUUCCCUUCAGGUCCCAGGUCUUUUAGGCGACCCUUCCCGGCUGCUCCUGCAAAAAGUUCUGGGUCUUCGAACUCCGGCGGUGGUUCCUCUGGGGAAGGGGUUGCUGGGAGAUUCUCCCACAGAGUUGGGCCAAGACACUUCUCCGCUCACGUCCCAGGGUGGAAACUCUGGGGCUGGAAUGGUGUCACAUGUACCUGGACGUUCACAUGCGAGUUCCAUCGCCGACCAGAAUGGAGUCACUGCGACAUGCCUGGCUCCGGAGAAACAGCCUGCACCUCCAGGAACCACAGGUGGCUCUGUAAGCUCCCAAACCCAACUGCAAAACUUCCUUCCUGGAAUUAACGCACCAAGUCUGGGACUUUUGCUGGGGAGUACAACACACAAAACUCCAGCAAACCACCACAGUUCAAGUGUGCAGACUAGUACAUCUGUUACAAGUCAAUCCAGUUGUCAGAUGUCUCUGUUGGGAGACCCCCCAAAAGAAGUGAAGUUGCCUUCCAACCCAUAUCUAAACCUGGCUAGUGUGCUUCCUGGAGUGGUACUACAAGCACCCUGCAACAGUAAACCUCAGACUGUGCAGGCGCACACUGGGACGUACAGUGCAGUCCUGCCACCUGCCACCCACCCACCCAGUCAAUACAGCGCAGAAACCACUCCUGCAGAAUACACUCACCAAUACACCCAGCAAUACACGCAGGUAUAUAAAUGAAAAAUAUACAUGUAUUUUUACACACACACAUACACAUAUACAUAUAUACACAUACACACUGGUUUGUAAAUAUUUUUGGAAAAAAAUUUUUAUUUUAUGCUCACUAAAUCCAUUUAUCCUUUGCUGAAACUCCCGAUUCUUCAUGGAGAGCGGAGGUCAUGGUUGCUUAGCAACGGCAGACGCC